rnacentral:rRNA from 1 species
AGCAGCCGCGGUAAUUCCAGCUCCAAUAGCGUAUAUUAAAGUUGUUGCAGUUAAAAAGCUCGUAGUUGAAUUUCGGGGUUCAUCCGUUGGUCGGGCUUUUUUGGUCUGUACUGGCGUGAUGGAUUCCUACCUUCUGAAUAACCAGCAUGUCAUUAAUUUGGUGCGCUGGGGAAGCAGGACUGUUACCUUGAAAAAUUAGAGUGCUUAAAGCAGGCUAUCGCCUGAAUACAUUAGCAUGGAAUAAUGAAAUAGGACGGCAUGGUUCUAUUUUGUUGGUUUCUAGGAUCACCGUAAUGAUUAAUAGGGAUAGUUGGGGGCAUUAGUAUUCAAUUGUCAGAGGUGAAAUUCUUGGAUUUAUUGAAGACUAACUUCUGCGAAAGCAUUUGCCAAGGAUGUUUUCAUUAAUCAAGAACGAAAGUUAGGGGAUCGAAGACGAUCAGAUACCGUCGU